CAGGAUGAACGCUAGCUACAGGCUUAACACAUGCAAGUCGAGGGGCAGCAUAUCGAAAGCUUGCUUUGAUGAUGGCGACCGGCGCACGGGUGAGUAACGCGUAUCCAACCUUCCCUAUACUAGAGGAUAGCCCGGCGAAAGUCGGAUUAAUACUCUAUGUUGUAUUUCGAGGACAUCUGAAUAAUACCAAAGGUUUACCGGUAUAGGAUGGGGAUGCGUCUGAUUAGGUUGUUGGCGGGGUAACGGCCCACCAAGCCCACGAUCAGUAGGGGUUCUGAGAGGAAGGUCCCCCACAUUGGAACUGAGACACGGUCCAAACUCCUACGGGAGGCAGCAGUGAGGAAUAUUGGUCAAUGGACGAGAGUCUGAACCAGCCAAGUAGCGUGCAAGGAUGACGGCCCUAUGGGUUGUAAACUGCUUUUAUACAGGGAUAAAGUGCACUACGUGUAGUGUUUUGUAGGUACUGUAUGAAUAAGGACCGGCUAAUUCCGUGCCAGCAGCUGC
rnacentral:rRNA from 1 species